CAUUUCAGGUUACGAAGAAACAUCUUUCCGGGAGGAUCGACCGGGUCGAUGCUAAUCUAGAUGAAACACAAGAAAUUAUCGAAGGGACAAGGGAUGAGGUCGCAGUGAUCCAUGUGGAUCUGAGCGCCUUUCAGAAGGAGCUCCAAGAAGUCAGCCGUACGGUUGAGAUAUGGGGGUCAAGGCUGUCUGGUAUCGAGGACACCCAGGAUCGUACCGUGCGUGCAACCGAAGCCUUGGUUGG